AGUGAACGCUGGCGGCAGGCCUAACACAUGCAAGUCGAACGGCAGCACGGCAGUAGCAAUACUGUGGGUGGCGAGUGGCGGACGGGUGAGGAAUACAUCGGGAUCUACCCUGUUGUGGGGGAUAACGUAGGGAAACUUACGCUAAUACCGCAUAAGAACUGAGGUUGAAAGCGGCGGACCGCAAGGCGUCGCGUGAUUGGAUGAACCGAUGUCCGAUUAGCUAGUUGGCGGGGUAAAGGCCCACCAAGGCGACGAUCGGUAGCUGGUCUGAGAGGACGACCAGCCACACUGGAACUGAGACACGGUCCAGACUCCUACGGGAGGCAGCAGUGGGGAAUAUUGGACAAUGGGCGCAAGCCUGAUCCAGCCAUGCCGCGUGGGUGAAG
rnacentral:rRNA from 1 species